rnacentral:rRNA from 1 species
CGCGCAGGCGGCCAGGUCAGUCGAAUGUGAAAGCCCCCGGCUCAACUGGGGAGGGUCAUUCGAUACUGCUUGGCUUGAAGAUAGGAGAGGGAAGCGGAAUUUCAGGUGUAGUGGUGAAAUGCGUAGAUAUCUGAAGGAACACCAGUGGCGAAGGCGGCUUUCUGGCCUAUUCUUGACGCUGAGGCGCGAAAGCUAGGGGAGCGAACG